GGAAUGGAUGGGGCCUGGGAAAGAGCUGGAGAGGAGGGAGAAGGGAGGCUGAUGGUAGAGUGUAUAAGAGAAGGCAGGUCCACUAGCAGGUGCUCCUCACACCUUUAAUUCACUCUCAAAGCCCAUACUUAGUUCUGUAGAGCUGUAGCUGAAAUCAAUGAGAAGAUAGGGUGGAAGCCAACCUGAGAAUUUCCUAAAACUCAAGAGCUGUGUCCCAAGGUAAAAUGGAAUGUGCUCCUUGCCUCCUGAAUGCCUUCAAAUAUUUGGGGUUCACUAGAUGAGACAGAAGUGACUCAGCUGCUGAGAAGGAAGGCAGUAGGGGAAGCCCCAGAUUGACUACCCCACUGUUGGCUGCCCAAGAGGUCACUUAUCUGUUUUGAUUAUACUUUUGACUGCAAGUAACCAAAAACCCAAUUAACAAUGACUCAAUCAGAGGGAAAUGAUUGUUGUACAUAUAGAAAAUGUGGAGGUUGCUCUGAUCUAGGAUUAGCUAAACCAUAGGUUUGACAAAGUCAUCAAGGUGCUACCUCUUUCUGUUAUUUUGUUUGUUGUUUUCUGCUGAUUCAACCUCUUAGGCUUAGUCCCCUCCUAGUCCCCAGAGACCUUCAGUGAUUUUAGGCUUCAGAUGUGGGCAACAUUCAGAGGCAAAAAGGGAAAAAAAAGCCUAGUUUCCUUGCUUUUAAUAGUAAGAAGAAUAUUUUCUAGUAAUUCUGCAGUCCUGGUGAGACUCAGACAACACUUCACGUCUCCUUAGCCAGGUGUCACCAUAAAUCCAUUUCUAAAUCAGUCACUGGACAGGAAAAACGAAAUCACUACAAGAGAAACCCUGCUCCUCUGAAGCACAUGGAUGUUUAAUAGCGGAACAAAAUCAAGGUUUGUUAUCAUGAGAGACCAGGGCAAUGCAGCCAAUAGCAGCUGCCUCAUUUCCUUCUUGUUUUUUAGGUAUGAUGGAGACCAGGGUAUGGGUGGUAUGGCUAAUACUGCUUACCUUGCCUGAGCUGGGGUUCUAGGCAGUUUAUGCCAAUUGUGCUUGUGACUAGCUCAUUGGGAAGGCUUGGAAGACUCACUGGAGCAAUAGGUUACAGAUCACCAGGUUGAUCUGUAAAGUAACUCCUCAUCUUUACCAUAGAUCUUGUAUUUUCCUGGGUCACAGCAUAGUCUCUUCAUCUCAGAUCUGCAAGUCAAGGAUCAUUAUUCCUUCUCUCAAACUGGAAUUAAAAUUAGGUAGCUUACUUAAGAUCAACAUUAAGUGGUAGGAGUAAAGAUUUGAAAUUGGGUUAACGUAUGUAUAAUAUACGUGUGUCUCCCACUCAUGUCUAUCUCUUUCUUCCAGCUUAAGAGUUUGCAUGAGUCUGGGAACAAAUGUGGGAGUGUGAUUUAGAUCUGUGCACUUCAAACUACCUAGCUAAGAACCAGAUUUUUUAAAAAAUUCCAGUCCAUAUGGACUCACAUUUUUAUGAAAUAUUAUAAAAAGAACUAAUAGGAAAGUGAAAAGAAGCUAGCAUGAAGAAAUAUAAAAUGUAAGUCCCAUUUAAAAUUAGUCAGUUUUAACAAACUAAAAAAAAAAAAAAAGCUCUAUCAAUUGACUAUAAAGUUUUCUAAACACUUAAUUUUGGUACUUACCUUGCCACAAAUCUCUGACAGUUUUUGGACCUGCAUUGGUCCUUGGCUUAAGUGGAACAGCACUGAUUUAGACAGCUUUUGGCCACUGUUCUACAACUCAGGAUGUUGAUUCUUGGAUGCUGCAGUUGAGAUGAUGGCGGGUUAGAUUUUUGCACUGUUGAUUUUGUAGGGACUUUUAUUUUUACUAAGAGAUUUAUAUUAGACCUGAGGAAACAAUUUCUUGAGGGUAAUUUUCCACCUCUCUUCUAUGUAGGAAAGAGAUUGAGCUAUAGUAGAGGCUGAGAGUAUUAAAAAAACCUGUUCACCAAAGGAAGAGGUUCCCAAUUGGUUGUGUCAUUGGAUGAUGAGUCAUCUUGUAACAAAAAAUUCAAGUUUCUUGAUGUGAAUGACUCUAGGUUUGUGUGUGAUUAAUGCUUGGAUGCUUGUUAUUUUUUCUGACGUAAAAGUGACUUCAAUUUGGUAAGCUGUUUUAAAAAUAUGUAGAUCCUUUCAUUCAAUGGAAAUUCCAUUUCUACAAGGGAGUCUUCCCAAGAAAUCUAAGUCUGUAAUGUAGAAAAUCUAAAAUGACCAUUUGCUCAGUGUAUGAAAGUCUGAGAGCUUGACAUAGGUGGGAACUCAAAUUCACAGGUGUUCCAGCAUGCUCAAAUCUCUUCCUGUCCCUUCAUUCACAAAUGAUUUGAGUACCAAUCUCAUUUUCUUCCUUCUUCUUCCUACUGAUCUCCCUUCUGCUGCUGGGAGCCUGAUGGACUUCAGUGCCCUUAUGGACGACUCAACCAAAAUGUGAUUUUUGGAUUCCAUGACUUUUAUAUUUCUAAUGACCUAUUUCUCUGUUUCUACUCAGCCAUUUGCUGUAAUGAUUAUAGACUGGAAUUUGACAUUUCUCAAUACUGGCCCACCUCCCAAAUCUCCUCAUCCAGGCAUUUCACUCUCUAGCUACAGAGUCUACUCCUUAGUGAUUCCUCCCUCACAACUAUUUCUUGACCUCAUGGUCAAGAUCUUCCAGUCCGUGGGCUCAUCCACACUAUUCCUUUUUACUGGCUCCCUCCUGUCUUUGCUGUUCUUGUUAAUCAACUUUGACUCUUUGGUCCAUUUUCCCAAUCGGGCUCUUACCUAUACGCUCUCAAGUUUCUCUCCUCCUGUGCUUUGGUCCUUCACUACCAGACAUGACCUUCCUAUAGCAUUUGAUUCAGCUGAUCACAGGGCAAAGCAAUUCUACCUUCUACGUGUUCAUUCCCAGUCUGCCAAAAGAAUAUAAGAAAACUAAUACAAUCUGGCAGACCCUAUCAAUCCACAAUCCACAAUCCAUAUCGUCUACCUUAACUGGCCUCAGCACUGUCUGAAAAUCUACCACCUUUCUCUGGAGUUGUUUUCUUUCUGCAUCUCUGCAAACAUCACUUCCAGUCUUCAUCUCUCUCCUCAGAUAUCCUUGCAUUCUCUUCUCUGUGUUCACUCUCUUAAGAGAAAAUAGAAACCAUCUGAUGGAAACAACCUAAACUUCCUGCCAACAGUUCUUCAAACCAAUCUGCUUCUGUACCCACCAACUCUAUUUCCUUCCUGCUAUUAUUCAGUGGAAGUGUUCUCCUCAUUUCUUUCCUCUGCCUAAAUCCCAAUGCCUAUAGCUUUCUAAGGGAAUUGACUUCAUCAGUUUUCCCACCUCCUUCAUCUUCAAUGUCUUCUUCCUCUCUGUUGGCCCAACAUCCUGAAAGAGCUGUCUGCGCUUGUCAUCCUCCCUUCUAGACAUCCCAUUUCAUGUGCAGCCCCAUCAAUUACUCUUUCUUGCUGCUCCCCAUCCAUCUCCUGAUAGUGUCAACAAUGGCUUCAUUCACUACCAGACAUGGCCUUCCUAUAGUAUUUGAUCCAGCCCAUCAAUCUUUCUUUCUUGAAAGGGAUGCUAUGAUUUCUAGGGUUUCUUUCAUCACUCAGGCCACUCUGGAAUGAAUUCUGACUUACAAACAUCUGGGCUCUCCAGAGUUUGGUCUGGGCUCUUCUCUCACUCCACACUCUUUGCUUUGGUAUUUGUAUCCAUCUCUAUGAUGUCACUUACCACUUCCUACCUGCAGAUUCUCCUCCAGACUAGAUUUCAAUAUCCAUCUGACCACUCUGAAUAUUUUUAGUCAGUCUUAGUGGCCCCUCCGACUCAGUAGGACCAACAUAGAUUGUAUCAUCUUGCCCUUCAAACUUGCUUCUUCUCUACCAAAAUUGCUCAGACCAGAACUCUAGGGUUCAUCUUGGCCAUCACCCACUCUCCCCUAAAUAUUGGAAUCCCCUCUCAAUUCCUGUUUAUUACUACCUUAGUCCAGACUGCUAUUUCCUCUUGUCUGGAUUGGAAGCAAAUGGCCCAAAUGAUCUCAUAAGAAGGCUUUAUAUUUAUUCUCUUUUCUGCUUACUAGCUUAUAUUUACCACAGACUGGCAUCCCCGAAUGAUUAGGCUUCUGCUCGUUUCCCCAAGCUCAUCUUAAAUUGUCCUCUUGUGCAUAAGGUCCCUCACUUUCUGUGGUUAUCUUUUACUUCCUCAAAUGGUUUAAAUUCUUCCCUACCUCAGGGCCUUCAGAAUAUGAGCUGGGGUGGAGAAUCCAGAAGGCCAUAAACAAGAUACAGCUAUGUUGUGGAUCAGUACAAAUCUCUUGGGUCCGAGACAGCCUCCCUGCUGUUACCGUCACCGCUGUCACGGUCACCGCUGCUGCUUCCUCCCCCACCUCCACCUCCACCUCCUCCUUCUCCUGUUCUUCUUCCUCCUCCUCCUUCUCUUCUUUUUCUUCCUCUUCUUCUUCUUUUUUAGUUUUAAGUGAUCUUUAUGCAUCUCUCUCUGCUUUUGUCACCUCCCUCUUCAUUUGGCCAAUUCCCAUUCUUCCUUCAUGUGCAGCUGAAUAUCACUUUCUCAUGGAAGGUUAGUUGUUUUGCUAAAUCUCCCUCUUCUAGAUUAGUAGCUUUGUUAAAUUGCCGCAGUCUGGCUGGGCACAAAAUCACGAGCCACUCACAGCUUUGUAGAUUCAAACAGCAAUUCUUUAUUCCCGACCUCACAUCGGCACUCUACACACGUUCUGGGGAAAAUCCACCUUCUGGGCAAAAUCCCAAAUACUCUCUGAAUCCCGCGAGAACUCAACGGGAACUCAAGGAGCAGGCGCGCCUGAGGCAGCAGGAUACGCCCUAUUCCCAGCAGGGUACACCUUAAACCUGGAACCGCCCUAAACCCAAGGAGAGCCCUAAACCCUGAUCCGCCCUAAACCCGGAUCUGCCCUGGUCCUUGAGCAAGGUCACCUUACAUGCAAUGUCACUGCAAAUGACCUGGGUCAAUAUGGAGAGUCCUUCCUCUAAGCAACAUUGGGUAGGCUGACAAAGAAAUUGCCAUGUGUCAUUCCUACUUGGCAAUGGCUCUCAGCAUUAAAUCUCCUGCUUCUCAUUAAUAAGCUGGGCAUAAUAGUGCAUGCUUAUACUCAGAAGGCUGAGGAAGGAAGAUUGUUGAACGUAGGGGUUGGAGGCCAGCCUGGGAAACAUAAUGAGGCCCUGUUUAAAAAAAAUCACAAUUAUUAUAAAGUUGUGUAUUUAACUGUGUGAUAUCUGUUUCCUCUCUAGCUAUUAAACCCAUGAGAACAGGAACCACAUCUCUCUUAUUCACUGCUUUUCUCUCAGCAGCCAACAUAGUACCUAGAGAAUAAUAAGUUCUGAAUGAAUAAAUGUAUAUCUUAGAAGAACUUGGAUUUGAAAGAAGUCAAUAGAAGCCAAUCUGCCCUGUUUUGAUUUGGGUAUCAUCACUGUCCAAUAUGAAUGCAGAGAUUAUUAUGUAAGGAGACCAGAUUGACUAUUUAGUAUUGCAUACUAGUCUAAGUUACCAUUUCAGCUUUGGAAGAGGGCACAUGGUAGGGUCAGGUAGGGGAACUCACAUUCCCCUUACCCUAAGCAGCUUCCUUCUGCCACUUCCUUUUGCCACAUCCUUCUGCCGUGAUGUGCUGUCUCACCUUGGUCCCAGAGCAAUGGCAUUAGUUCACCCUGAACUGAAUCCCUGUAACUGUGAGUCAAAAUAAACUUUUGCUCCUUUAAGUUGUUCUUGGCAGGUGUUUGGGUGGCAGUGAUACAAAGCUGACUAACACAGAAAUUGGUAUCAAAAAGUGGGGUCGUUGCUGUGACUAACAUGACCAUGUCGUUCAGAAACCUUUGGAACUGACUUGUAGGGGGAAUUUGGAACAGUUUAAAGAUACAGGAUGGAGGAGACUUAGAAUUUUGUAAGCAGAGCUUAAUGGGUAAUUCUGGUGGGAUCCCAGAAGACGGAAUGCCAAUAGGAAUACGGAAUGUAGGUUUCAAGCAGGGAAAUGAGGUUUCUAUUGGGAAUUGGACAAGGGGGCACUCAUGUUUCAUGCUGGCAAAGAACUUGUCUAAAUUUUUCUGAGACUAUGUGUGAGGCCAAAUUAAAAAGCGAUGGGUUAAUUAAUCUGAUAGAGGAAAUUUCCAGGCAGCACAGCAUUCAGUCAGUGGUGUGGAUGUUGCUGACAUAUUUUCUCCAAAUUUACUGUCAAAAUUGGGAGCAGAAGGCAGAAUUUAAGGAUUUUUAAAGCUUGCAAUUUGACCAGAAAAGUGCAUGUAAAACUGGGGACAAGAAAGUUGGUUGUUGAGAACAUUAUGGCCACUAAAGAGAUGCUAAAUACUCUGCACAGAAUCAAAUGUAUGAAAUAUGUUAUGUCAAGAGCUUUGUAAUGUUUUGAACAACUAAUAAUAAAAAUAAAUAAAUAAAUAAAUAAAUAAAAGAAAAUUGUAAAGAUGGCUUGAGGGUUUCUCUGGAAUGUGUAAGACCAGACCUGUUGCAGGCUUAAGGAUAUAGAAGGAAAAAUUUCUUUGAGAAGAGAUCCCAGGAGCACUUUGAUUGUACAGGGUGCCCUAGGAAGUUAGUUCACAAGACAUCCAGGGGCCAUUGCAGCCAUGAUCCCAGAGGGCCCAGCUACUUCAUGAACUGGUGGCAGACCUUGGUGUCAUCCAUGUGGUGCUAGUUCUGCAGGAAUGCUGGAUGUUGGAAUUAAGGGCUCAUGGAGGCUUCCACUGAGAUUUCAAAGGGAGACCUGGGAAGCAGGGCAAAGUGUAUUAGGGUUGGAAUCCCUGCAGGCUGCCCUGGAGAGGGCAAUAUAUGAAGCUGUGAAGGUGAAGUCAUAGCUGGAAUGCAGACCCGAGGAAUUAAGAAAUGCCAGUAACAUGGAUCGUUAGUUGAGAAAGUUGUAGGCUACAGAGAAAAUUAGGCUAAAAGAGAGCCAUGUGUGCUGCAGCAGGCAAAGCCAAAGGAGUGGGGCUGCCCAAGCCCUUUGGGAAGCAUUUCUUACCUCCAAGACGUUAUACUUGGAGUCAU
rnacentral:lncRNA from 1 species